UACGGAGGGUGCGAGCGUUGUCCGGAAUCACUGGGCGUAAAGGGCGCGUAGGUGGCGAAGCAAGUCAACGGUGAAAGCUCGACGCUCAACGUCGAGUCGGCCGUCGAUACUGCAUCGCUCGAGCACUGUAGAGGCAGAUGGAAUUCCGGGUGUAGCGGUGGAAUGCGUAGAGAUCCGGAAGAACACCGGUGGCGAAGGCGGUCUGGCUGGGCAGUAGCUGACACUGAGGCGCGACAGCGUGGGGAGCAAACAGGG
rnacentral:rRNA from 1 species